UACAGAGGGUGCGAGCGUUGUCCGGAAUCACUGGGCGUAAAGGGCGCGUAGGUGGCCACCAUAAGGCCGCGGUGAAAGUUUGGAGCUCAACUCCAGAUCGGCCGCGGCGACUGUGGGGCUGGGGUACUGUAGAGGCAGGUGGAAUUCCGGGUGUAGCGGUGGAAUGCGUAGAGAUCCGGAAGAACACCAGUGGCGAAGGCGGUUCUCUGGGACGGUACUGACGCUGAGACGCGAAAGCGUGGGGAGCGAACAGG
rnacentral:rRNA from 1 species